rnacentral:lncRNA from 1 species
AUGGUCAACACUCUUCUCACUGCUGUAUCGCAACAGGUGAGCGGCAGCCAGCCGUCCAUUUGCUCCGAGGUCGGGAAGAACCUCUAUGACGUGUCCGAGGUUUGUCCCUGGGACAUGGAGGAACCAGAGACGCCUUCGGAAGCCAAGACCCAGAAACAUGUUUCCAUUGCUCCUGGGGAAACCACCGGCGGCCGGAGAGCCAGCAGCAGCAGCAGCUCCGGGGUCACCAAGGGGAGCCGGUCCCAGCAGAGGCAGAAGACAGGGCAGUCCCCAUCCAACAGACGCCGCUCCAAAGAUAAAGGGGGAGAAAAAGAGCAAGGCAGGGAGAUGAGGAAAUCCCAGCCACCCAGGUCACCUCUGCCUCUGAAGCCGAACGUGUGCCCGUGGGAAUUUGACGAGCAGCCCAUUCUCGGAGGAGAUUCCGAUUCCAUCUCCCCAGACAGGAUCAGGCGGAAGAAAAGCGUCACGCCCACCGACGGGAAACCCAAGGGGCUCCACUCAGACCACUCCAAGUCCACAGGCAGCCUCUUACAGCCCCCGUCCCUGAUGGUCGAGAUCUGCCCGUGGGAUUACUCCAGCCCGCCGUCACCCAAACAGGAGAAGACCUGCAACAGCCCCACGACACACAAGAAGAAGCGGAAAGGCUCCUGCUCGUCCAACCACAAAGCGGAGAAGGAGAAAGGGAGGGAGAAGAGCCGGGAAAGGCGGAGCUCCUCCAGUAAGCCGCCGUCGGAGAGGAGGCGGGUUAGCCAGUCGUCUGAGUGCGGCGGGCCGGCGUCCGAGCGGCGGAGGAGCUCCACCAGGGACCCAGAGCUGAUGGAGGCGAGGAGGGCGGCGGUUUCCUCCCUGGAGGCCGAGCCCAGGCACAGCAGCUUUGCUCAGAAAACUAGACGCUCUCCAGAGAGGAAGAGGGAGAGCUCUUUGGGCGGUAGUUGCAAACCAGCAGUCGUCAGUGGAGCCAAAACGGUUGAUGUUUGCCCCUGGGACUUCGAGGAGCAGGACUCUGGUGAGAGGGCGUGA